rnacentral:rRNA from 1 species
CGGGUGGUAAUGCCGGAUGCUCCAGUUGACCGCAUGUUCCUCUGGGAAAGCUUUUGCGGUAUGGGAUGGGGUCGCGUCCUAUCAGCUUGAUGGCGGGGUAACGGCCCACCAUGGCUUCGACGGGUAGCCGGCCUGAGAGGGCGACCGGCCACAUUGGGACUGAGAUACGGCCCAGACUCCUACGGGAGGCAGCAGUGGGGAAUAUUGCACAAUGGGCGCAAGCCUGAUGCAGCGACGCCGCGUGCGGGAUGACGGCCUUCGGGUUGUAAACCGCUUUUGACUGGGAGCAAGCCCUUCGGGGUGAGUGUACCUUUCGAAUAAGCACCGGCUAACUACGUGCCAGCAGCCGCGGUAAUACGUAGGGUGCAAGCGUUAUCCGGAAUUAUUGGGCGUAAAGGGCUCGUAGGCGGUUCGUCGCGUCCGGUGUGAAAGUCCAUCGCUUAACGGUGGAUCCGCGCCGGGUACGGGCGGGCUUGAGUGCGGUAGGGGAGACUGGAAUUCCCGGUGUAACGGUGGAAUGUGUAGAUAUCGGA